rnacentral:rRNA from 1 species
UACGUAGGGGGCAAGCGUUGUCCGGAUUUAUUGGGCGUAAAGAGCGUGUAGGCGGCUUUACAGGUCCGUUGUGAAAACUCGAGGCUCAACCUCGAGACGCCGGUGGAAACCGUAAAGCUAGAGUCCGGAAGAGGAGAGUGGAAUUCCUGGUGUAGCGGUGAAAUGCGCAGAUAUCAGGAAGAACACCAACGGCGAAGGCAGCUCGCUGGGACGGAACUGACGCUGAGGCGCGAAAGCGUGGGGAGCGAACAGG